rnacentral:rRNA from 1 species
GAUGAACGCUGGCGGCAUGCCUAAUACAUGCAAGUCGAGCGAACAGACGAGGAGCUUGCUCCUUUGACGUUAGCGGCGGACGGGUGAGUAACACGUGGAUAACCUACCUAUAAGACUGGGAUAACUUCGGGAAACCGGAGCUAAUACCGGAUAACAUGUUGAACCGCAUGGUUCAACAGUGAAAGACGGUCUUGCUGUCACUUAUAGAUGGAUCCGCGCCGCAUUAGCUAGUUGGUAAGGUAACGGCUUACCAAGGCAACGAUGCGUAGCCGACCUGAGAGGGUGAUCGGCCACACUAGAACUGAGACACGGUCCAGACUCCUACGGGAGGCAGCAGUAGGGAAUCUUCCGCAAUGGGCGAAAGCCUGACGGAGCAACGCCGCGUGAGUGAAGAAGGUCUUCGGAUCGUAAAACUCUGUUAUUAGGGAAGAACAAAUGUGUAAGUAACUAUGCACGUCUUGACGGUACCUAAUCAGAAAGCCACGGCUAACUACGUG